AACAUAUCAGAUGGUAAGAUAGAGAAAGAGAGUGAAUAUAU
rnacentral:guide_RNA from 1 species